rnacentral:tRNA from 1 species
UCCCAUAUUGUCUAGUGGUUAGAAUACCUGGCUCUCACCCAGGAGGCCCGGGUUCAAUUCCCGGUAUGGGAA